GAUGAACGCUAGCUACAGGCUUAACACAUGCAAGUCGAGGGGCAGCAUCAUCAAAGCUUGCUUUGAUGGAUGGCGACCGGCGCACGGGUGAGUAACACGUAUCCAACCUGCCGACAACACUGGGAUAGCCUUUCGAAAGAAAGAUUAAUACCGGAUGGCAUAGUUUUCCCGCAUGGGAUAAUUAUUAAAGAAUUUCGGUUGUCGAUGGGGAUGCGUUCCAUUAGGCAGUUGGCGGGGUAACGGCCCACCAAACCAACGAUGGAUAGGGGUUCUGAGAGGAAGGUCCCCCACAUUGGAACUGAGACACGGUCCAAACUCCUACGGGAGGCAGCAGUGAGGAAUAUUGGUCAAUGGACGAGAGUCUGAACCAGCCAAGUAGCGUGAAGGAUGACUGCCCUAUGGGUUGUAAACUUCUUUUAUACGGGAAUAAAGUGAGCCACGUGUGGCUUUUUGUAUGUACCGUAUGAAUAAGGAUCGGCUAACUCCGUGCCAGCAGCCGCGGUAAUACGGAGGAUCCGAGCGUUAUCCGGAUUUAUUGGGUUUAAAGGGAGCGUAGGCGGGUUGUUAAGUCAGUUGUGAAAGUUUGCGGCUCAACCGUAAAAUUGCAGUUGACACUGGCGACCUUGAGUGCAACAGAGGUAGGCGGAAUUCGUGGUGUAGCGGUGAAAUGCUUAGAUAUCACGAAGAACUCCGAUUGCGAAGGCAGCUUACUGGAUUGUAACUGACGCUGAUGCUCGAAAGUGUGGGUAUCAAACAGGAUUAGAUACCCUGGUAGUCCACACAGUAAACGAUGAAUACUCGCUGUUGGCGAUAUACAGUCAGCGGCCAAGCGAAAGCAUUAAGUAUUCCACCUGGGGAGUACGCCGGCAACGGUGAAACUCAAAGGAAUUGACGGGGGCCCGCACAAGCGGAGGAACAUGUGGUUUAAUUCGAUGAUACGCGAGGAACCUUACCCGGGCUUAAAUUGCAACUGACUGAACCGGAAACGGUUCUUUCUUCGGACAGUUGUGAAGGUGCUGCAUGGUUGUCGUCAGCUCGUGCCGUGAGGUGUCGGCUUAAGUGCCAUAACGAGCGCAACCCUUACGGGUAGUUACCAUCAGGUUAUGCUGGGGACUCUACCCGGACUGCCGUCGUAAGAUGUGAGGAAGGUGGGGAUGACGUCAAAUCAGCACGGCCCUUACGUCCGGGGCUACACACGUGUUACAAUGGGGGGUACAGAAGGCAGCUACACGGCGACGUGGUGCUAAUCCCAAAAGCCUCUCUCAGUUCGGAUUGGAGUCUGCAACCCGACUCCAUGAAGCUGGAUUCGCUAGUAAUCGCGCAUCAGCCACGGCGCGGUGAAUACGUUCCCGGGCCU
rnacentral:rRNA from 1 species